CCUCUCCCUCUCCCUCUCCUCCCUACCAAUGCCCUACCACUUCCCUCCCUCCCUCCCUACCUAAUCCAUAGGAUACGCAAAAUCAUAAAAAAGAAAAAAAAAACGAAAAAAUCGGCACACGAUCAAGAAAUUAGUGAAUUUGCGAAUCGUUAAUGGCACGCGCGGGGAAAAUGGCGGCUAUAUUUCCUCUGCUACGAUCGCGGUCAUCAUUGGCGCUG